GUGUAUGACGUCAUCAACGACUAGUCGAAGUCGACUCGAUUUUCAUUACUUGACUGUCGACUUAAAAAAAAUUAAGUCGUGCAACCCCUAGUUGCUACGUGAAUGUGUGAGGACUGGAGGACCCAGGUAAAUGCAGAGGUGCGACGGUUCAGUGACACAACAACUGGAUGCUGAAACAGCUACUUUCUGUCAGAAGGUUUAUUGACAAAUGCGAGAGAACUACUUAACUGUUGUUGUUUUUUUUAAUUUCCACAAAAUAUUUGUAGCUGUGGCAUGUUAGAAUGUUAAGCAGCAUGAAGAAAUAACUUUGAAGCUUGUUUAGGCGAUUUGCCUCUUUAAAGAGCAAGUAACGUCUAAAUUAACUUUUUUUUUGCUGAUGAACUGUAUAAAUGAGUGUCUAAUAGUGUUUUAAAUGUGUGUAUUCAUUAUUUUAGCAUUUUGGUGCAUUUUCUUUAAAAAUUAAAAAUUCUGCCUAAAUACCACAGUAUAGCGCCACCUUCAGCUUAAAACAUAGAAUUUGACUCAUUUUUGAAUAAAUUUUAGCCAAUGGCUAAAGAGUAAGAUACUACGUAAACCAGUAGAGUACUACGUAGCAGCUCUGUGUCAAAGUUAUAAAAGCACGGGCAAGCAAGGCGUCUCGGCCACGCCUUGUGGCAAGUUGGGAGUUGGAUUUGCAAGCGAGUGUAGGAGGUUAGCGGUAGUUCAGCCUUAGCAUAUAGCGUUAGCAUAUCCUAGUCUUUAGCAUAGCUUUUAGUGUUAUAAAUACUUAUUUAGUGUUAGUUUGGCUGUUGGAUAUUGUAGUUUAGUUAGUGUUUGGCUGUUAGUGUAAUUGGGAAAGUAGUUCGGGUUUAGUGCUCCAUAUCGUGUUAGUAUUGGUGAGUAGGUGUAGUGUAGUAUGCUUGCGGUGGCUCUGUGGGCAUUUUACCCGCGAUUCUGCACGUCUCCGUUUGAAGAGGGAGGCUGUGCCCACCGUGGCUCUUCCGCAAUUUAGAUGCAGCCCACCGACUCUGCUCCCCCACCACGGCGGGCUCCAGUCUGAGGUGAGUAAGCUAAAUAAACGUUUUAACAUCUUCUAAAGACAAUUCCCUACCUAAAUGCAAAGUCUGAGAGAUGUGGUUCACUUCCUUUAGCUAGUCAGUCGGCAAUUCUGCAACAGUGGCUCUAACUAACAGCACUAGUUGACAGACAGCAUUACAGCGUGAAAUCCAGCUUGUGAGGAUAUGUGAGGAAUUCUGUUCAGGAGGUCGCAUUUCAGGCUCUCCACAUCAUGUGCGACUGACUUUUACGUUAUAACAACGAUCACACACUAGGAAUGUUAUAAAGAGCCUUUAUAGGACAGUUUCUUUUAUAUAUUAUCUGACUUUAUAAACUCCCAACAACAAUGUGCUUCUAUUUUUUUUCAGGCUAAAUCUACCCAAGACACUGGCUGUCAGACUGAUUUAGCUGCAAGAAUGCACUUGUCCAGGCUGACGUGAAGCCUUACCUGUAGCAAAGCCAGCCAGAAUGGAGUUCACAGCCGCAGUGUGUCUGGUGACCCACAGGGACCAUGAUGGAAAUUCAUCUUCCAGAAAGUCUCAGAGCAGCGUCCACACCCCCUGAAAAGACCAAGAUGUAAGGUGUCUGCUGUUGAUUCCAGCUUCCACCUCAGUGACAGUGCAAGCUCAGUGGACUGUUCAAGGUAAAAAAAAAUUAAAACAUUUCAGAAUUUUUAAGAUAUAAACAAUUAAAUAAGUAUGUGAUUACAUCAUGACAUCAUGAAGGAGGCUACUGAUUCUGGCCCUGUGACACUUGGUAGUGACAUGUGAGCUGAUUCACCUGGUAAAUAACUUUUACAUUAAAUAUUUUGUUUUUGCUAUCAAAAGUAAAUUAACUAAUAACCUGCAUUAUUGCAGGACACUCAGCAAAAUAUGGACUACACCAUGAGGCAGGCACACGUUAAUACUUAUAAGAGCACAUAAGCAUGAGGAUGUCCUCACACACCUGUAACCUAUCAGCUCAUCUGGCAGAAUAAAGAGAGAAGAGACAACACCACAUCUCCUGUUCCUGGAAAGCCUUCAGCCAUCCUUCGAUGACUGAGAACCUCCAUCAGCUCUGUCUCCUGUCUGCCUACAAUUAUUAUAAUAAAUAUUGUGUUUGACAAGUUUUUUGUGCUGCCAAAUAUCUCAUAUAGAUUCCAGUUUUGACAUUUUAAUGGAUAUUUAUAAAUUACAUUGAUUAUCACAUUUUUGUUGCAUGUUUAACUAGCUCUAUUGUGAUGAAUUAAACUAGCACCUCAGUGUUAAAAGCUCGUUUUAAUUUCAAGCAUGUUUAAGUAUUUAUGGACAUGAACAAAAACAGGAAAUAUAUAAAUUGAGAUUUAUUUAAUUAAUAUAACAAAUAAGGGGGAAAGAGUCAUUGAAAGGCACAUUCUUCUGGAAGCUCCUGAUCCUGACGACAC